UCCGAAUUGGUGUAGUGGUUUAACAUUGCCGCCUUUCAUGGAAACGUGAUUCUCGCGGCAGCCAGGGGUUCGAUUCCCCUAUUCGGAA